rnacentral:rRNA from 1 species
AGUGAAUCAUCGAAUCUUUGAACGCAAAUGGCACUCUAUGGUAUUCCGUAGAGUACGUCUGUUUGAGCGUCGCG